GACAGAGGUGCCAAGCGUUAGGCGGAAUCACUGGGCUUAAAGCGUGUGUAGGUGGAUGUCUAAGUACCUUGUGAAAUCCCACGGCUCAACCGUGGAACUGCUCGGUAUACUGGAUGUCUUGAGCCACUUAGGGGCUACCGGAACAAAUGGUGGAGCGGUGAAAUGCGUAGAUAUCAUUUGGAACGCCAAUGGUGAAAACAGGUAGCUGGGAGUGUGCUGACACUGAGACACGAAAGCCAGGGGAGCGAACGGG
rnacentral:rRNA from 1 species